rnacentral:rRNA from 1 species
AUUCCAGCUCCAAUAGCGUAUAUUUAAGUUGUUGCAGUUAAAAAGCUCGUAGUUGGAUUUUGGGUCGGGGGUACCGGUCCGCCGUUUCGGUGUGCACAGGUCUCCCCUUCCUUUCUGCCGGGGACGGCGUUUGCUCUUAAUUGGGCGGCGUCGGAGUCGGCGUUGUUACUUUGAAAAGAUUAGAGUGUUCAAAGCAAGCCAUCGCUCUGAAUACAUUAGCAUGGAAUAACAUGAUAGGACUCUGGUCUUAUUUAGUUGGUUUCCGAGACUGGAGUAAUGAUUAAGAGGGACAGUCGGGGGCAUCCGUAUUUCAUUGUCGGAGGUGAAAUUCUUGGAUUUAUGAAAGACGAACUUCUGCGAAAGCAUUUGCCAAGGAUGUUUUCAUCG